AAUGCACACAGCAGUUGAUGUGGUAUAAUAUCAACGUACCUUUUGCAUAAUGUUCUAGCUAGUUUAUUAAAAUAGCGAGCUUAUAAAAAAAUUAAGCGUAUUGAAAAAAUGAUAGUUAUUUUAAUAAGACCCGAAGCUAAGCGAUCUAAUUAUGGACAGGCUAAAAUAAAAAUUUGAGGGCCGAACCUGUGAAUGUUGCAAAAUUCUAGGAGGAUCUGUAAUUAGGGGUGAAAGGCUAAUCAAGCUUAGUGAUAGCUGGUUUUCCGCGAAACCUAUGGACGUAGGGGUUAUUUUUAGGUAGUGUGGUAAAGAAAACUUAUGGGGAUUUUAUCAAAAAAACCUAUUUGAACCUUAUAAUACAUUAUUUUAAAUAAUAAUACUCAGACUAAUGGCGCAAAGGUCUUUAGUCAAGAGGGAAACAGCCCUGAUUAUAUGCUAAGGUGUGUAAUUACUGCUAAUUAAAAAGAAUUGAUUAUAAACAUCCUAAUCCUAGGUGGGCUUGGAAGCAGCCAUCCUUUAAAGAAAGUGUAACAACUCAUGAUUAGGGGAG
rnacentral:rRNA from 1 species